UCCUGCUCCUAUUUUCUAUGUUUCUAUGUCAUCGUCCAGGUUAAUCUGACCUCGUUCACCAUUCAGUGGCCGGUGUUUGGGGCAACUGGUGACUAUGUGCUCC